AUACGGAGGGUGCGAGCGUUAAUCGGAAUUACUGGGCGUAAAGCGCACGUAGGCGGCAGCGUCAGUCGGAUGUGAAAGCCCCGGGCUCAACCUGGGAAUUGCAUUCGAUACUGCGCAGCUCGAGUAUGGGAGAGGGAAGUGGAAUUUCCGGUGUAGCGGUGAAAUGCGUAGAUAUCGGAAGGAACACCAGUGGCGAAGGCGGCUAGCUGGGCCGAGUCUGACACUCAUCCGCGAAAGCGUGGGGAGCAAACAGGAUUAGAUACCCCAGUAGUCC
rnacentral:rRNA from 1 species